UACGUAGGUGGCAAGCGUUGUCCGGAUUUACUGGGCGUAAAGAGCGCGCAGGCGGUCGGAUAAGUCGAAUGUGAAAGCCCCCGGCUUAACUGGGGAGGGUCAUUCGAUACUGUUCGACUGGAAGGCAGGAGAGGGAAGCGGAAUUCCCGGUGUAGUGGUGAAAUGCGUAGAUAUCAGGAGGAACACCGAUGGCGAAGGCAGCUCGCUGGGACGGUACUGACGCUGAGGCGCGAAAGCGUGGGGAGCGAACAGG
rnacentral:rRNA from 1 species